AUGGUACAGUCGCUGUGUUUUCACGACAGUCCCGGGCGGCUUUACGGCUGCUAAGUUUCUCCGCCUUCUAAACCGCGGUAACGUGGUGGCAUAUUGCUACGCCAGCGCAGAGAUGAGGCAAAAGAGGAAAGGGGACCUCAGCCCGGCUGAGCUGAUGAUGCUGACUAUAGGAGACGUUAUCAAGCAGCUGGUUGAAGCUCAUGAGCAGGGGAAAGACGUCGAUCUAAAUAAGAUGAAAACCAAGACAGCUGCCAAGUAUGGCCUUGCGUCCCAGCCCCGCCUGGUGGAUAUCAUCGCUGCAGUCCCUCCUCACUAUCGAAAGAUCUUGAUUCCUAAGCUAAAGGCGAAGCCCGUCAGGACUGCCAGUGGGAUCGCUGUUGUGGCUGUGAUGUGCAAACCCCACAGAUGUCCACACAUCAGUUUCACAGGGAAUAUAUGUAUAUACUGCCCCGGAGGACCUGACUCCGAUUUUGAGUAUUCAACCCAGUCUUACACGGGCUAUGAGCCAACUUCCAUGAGAGCUAUCCGUGCUAGAUAUGACCCUUUUCUGCAGACAAGACACCGGAUAGAGCAGCUAAAGCAGCUUGGUCACAGUGUGGAUAAGGUGGAGUUCAUCGUGAUGGGUGGAACGUUCAUGGCCCUUCCAGAAGAGUACAGAGAUUAUUUCAUCCGAAGUUUACACGAUGCUUUAUCAGGCCAUACUUCAAACAAUAUUCACGAGGCAAUCAAGUAUUCUGAGAGAAGCUUCACAAAGUGUGUUGGAAUUACAAUUGAGACCAGACCUGAUUAUUGCAUGAAGCGGCACCUAAGUGACAUGUUGACUUAUGGCUGCACAAGGCUGGAGAUCGGAGUGCAGAGUGUCUAUGAAGAUGUGGCCAGAGAUACCAACAGGGGCCAUACUGUGAAGGCAGCGUGUGAAUCUUUCCACCUGGCCAAAGAUUCUGGUUUCAAAGUGGUGACGCAUAUGAUGCCUGACCUGCCGAACGUGGGACUGGAGAGAGACAUUGAGCAGUUUAUAGAAUUUUUCGAGAACCCUGCUUUUCGUCCUGAUGGUUUGAAGCUCUACCCAACCCUGGUUAUCCGUGGAACUGGUCUGUAUGAGCUGUGGAAAUCAGGAAGGUACAGGAGCUAUUCUCCCAGUGACCUGAUUGAGCUGGUGGCUCGGAUCCUAGCCCUUGUGCCCCCGUGGACUCGUGUGUACCGGGUGCAGAGAGACAUCCCAAUGCCCCUUGUCAGCUCAGGAGUGGAGCAUGGCAACCUGCGCGAGCUGGCAUUUGCAAGAAUGAAGGAUCUUGGAAUACAGUGCCGUGAUGUGAGAACCAGGGAGGUUGGAAUCCAAGAAAUUCAUCACAGAGUGCGGCCAUACCAGGUCGAGUUGGUACGGAGAGAUUAUGUUGCCAAUGGUGGCUGGGAAACUUUCCUGUCCUACGAAGAUCCUGAUCAGGACAUUCUGAUUGGCCUCCUAAGGCUGCGGAAGUGCUCUGAGGAAACCUUCCGGUUUGAACUGGGUGGAGGUGUUUCCAUAGUCCGAGAGCUACACGUGUAUGGAAGUGUGGUCCCUGUGAGCAGCCGGGAUCCCACUAAAUUUCAGCAUCAGGGGUUCGGCAUGCUGCUGAUGGAAGAGGCAGAGAGAAUCGCUCGGGAAGAGCAUGGAUCUGGGAAAAUGGCAGUUAUAUCAGGUGACUGGAGAGAUGGGUUUCUGACUCAUCUGUUCACACUGAGAUUCGAUCUUUUGCCUCUCCAUGAUUACUGUGUUCAAAUUGAUCCAGGCUGACAAGUGAGAGGGACUUAUGUCCAAACGUCGGAACAUGUCAGAGAGCAGUUAGCUGGGGGUCGGCACAAGAAAUUAUUACCGAAAGAUUGGCUACAGAUUACAAGGCCCCUACAUGGUAAAGAUGCUAAAAUAAUGACCACCCAGUCUACCUUCUUGCAGCAUCCUCCCUGACAGAAGAUUCAAGUGCAGUCUCAGCAGAGGCUGAGGAGGUAAACGGCCUGCACACUCCUGGACGGUCCUCUGCCCUCCCCCUGUGGUGGCUGCCGCUCACUACUCUGACCCCUGUGACAGAGGCCAAACCCACCUCUUUAUGUGCCCAUGGGGCCUCUUCUGGCUUUAAGGCUUAAACGAUUUUUCCAGUUUCUAAAUUCUGCAUGAAGGCUGCAGGUGACCCAUUUUGGCUCAGACGCUGUGACCAGAGCAAAUCAACUCCUUUGGCCAUCGUCACUCGUGAUUGUCAUCUGAGGGGCAGCCUCGGGAGAAGAUUAUUUAUAUAUCCAAAGACGAAAGCCAGACUGCAGCACAGACAAGCUGUCAGACAUGACUCCCUGCCCUUUAACUACAUGCACAUUCACCCUGGAAUUUAGAAAAUGAGCUUUGCACUGGAAAUCUCAGUGGCUGUGCCGUGUCUUGAAAUGUGCUGUGUUUGGAGAAAGAAGAGCUGAGGUAGUGGGUUGUGUUAAUAUGCUUGAUGCCGGCCGUCUCUAGCCCAAUCCUGUCAGAAGCUUGCCCUGACCAGGGCCAUCUUGGAAGCCUUUCCUUUGUCUCACGUCUGUGAAAGUCUGUAUGUCCAUACCCCUGACACCUGCAGGACAGUGUGAACUACCUUCAGCAUGCUGGGCUAGCUUGUGCCAGCCAGUUCAUCUGUCCUGAGCAGACAUGGUCCAGAAUCCACAGCUAGAGCCGGAGGCCCUGGUCAGGACCAGGCCAUGCUCAGAAGCUUCUCUGCAUGUUAGUUCUGUAAAGUAGAUAGUGUUGAUGGUGCUGCAUGAAGAAGGUAGGAGUUAGGCUAGUGUGUGGAAGGAGGCCUGUCUGACCUGCAUGGAGGGACAUGGGCUUUCCAGAGCCUUCAUCACCAUUCAGUUUGUCCCCUGAGGAGGCCAGGCUCUGAGUGACAGCCCAUCUCGCCUGGGCAUCUGUCCUUUCCAGCAGUGUUUAGUGAAAACUGUUCCCUAAAAGGUCUGAAAAAUAAAGUCUUUAACAUAAAAGAG